rnacentral:rRNA from 1 species
ACAGAGGCGGCAAGCGUUGUUCGGAAUUAUUGGGCGUAAAGAGCACGUAGGCGGCCUUGCAAGUCAGUUGUGAAAGCCUUCCGCUUAACGGAAGAACGGCAUCUGAUACUACAGGGCUUGAGUGCGGGAGGGGAGAGUGGAACUUCUGGUGGAGCGGUGAAAUGCGUAGAUAUCAGAAGGAACGUCGGCGGCGAAAGCGACUCUCUAGACCGUAACUGACGCUGAGAUACGAAAGCGUGGGGAGCAAACAG